rnacentral:rRNA from 1 species
GACGGGGGAUGCAAGUGUUAUCCGGAAUAAUUGGGCGUAAAGCGUCUGUAGGUGGUUUACCAAGUCUGUUGUUAAAAAUCAGGGCUUAACCCUGAUCCGGCAACAGAAACUAGUAGGCUGGAGUACGGUAGGGGCAGAGGGAAUUCUCGGUGGUAGUGGUGAAAUGCGUAGAGAUCGGAAAGAACACCAACGGCGAAAGCACUCUGCUGGGCCGACACUGACACUGAGAGACGAAAGCUAGGGGAGCGAAUGGG